rnacentral:rRNA from 1 species
AAACUUAAAGGAAUUGACGGGGGCCCGCACAAGCGGUGGAGCAUGUGGCUCAAUUCGAUGCAACGCGAAGAACCUUACCAGGCCUUGACAUGCACUAGACAGACUCUGAAAGGAGUCCUCCCCUUCGGGGCUGGUGCACAGGUGCUGCAUGGCUGUCGUCAGCUCGUGUCGUGAGAUGUUGCGUUAAGUCGCGCAACGAGCGCAACCCCUGUCCUUAGUUGCCAUCAUUAAGUUGGGUACUCUAGGGAGACAAACCCUCUCUGAGGGUGGGAAGGUGGGGAUGACGUCAAGUCAGGAUGGCCCUUACGGCCUGGGCUGCACACGUGCUACAAUGCCCGAUACAGAGGGAAGCAAUACCGCGAGGUGGAGCAAAUCCUCAAAAUCGGGCCCAGUUCAGAUUGUAGUCUGCAACUCGACUACAUGAAGUUGGAAUCGCUAGUAAUGGCGCACUCCAGCUAACGGCGACCGUGAAUACGUUCCGGGCCUU